ACCGUUCCUUCCACCUGCAGCCUGUACACAAAGCCCUGCUUGCUUAGGGGCAGGCUGGCCUCCAGCAGGGAGCAGUGUGCUUAUCAGACGAGGGAAACCUGAGCAGAGCUGGCUGUUUAAUCAGUGGGGGAGGUGAGAGCGGGCCGGGACACUCAGAGGUGGAAGGAAGCCUCCCAGAGCACUGAGUCAGGGAGAGGCAGAGGCGGGGUCCCCAAGGCCAAGUCCCCUGUGGAGCCCUGCAGCUUCCUGGUAACAGGAGCUUGGGCAAGCCCCUUACCACCCUGAGCCCCAGCCAGCUUCCUCCUAUGUAACGCAGGAGGGUGUGUGAAUACCCUGGUCCCUAGGAAGAUGUAGGUGCGGUAGGUGGCAUGUUGGUGGGAGCCAGGAAGUGCCCAGGAGAUGGAGGAAAGAGGGAUGGAAGCUGAGACUCUGCCCUGCAGACCCCCCUGGCCCGGGUCCCACCAGGCUGUCAGUACGUUCCUGGCACGCUCACUCCUCUCCAUAUGACAGUCCCUGGAGGUUGGUGGCUACGCCUGGGAGACCUGAGACUGCUUCCUCCGCCUUGGGAGGGGGGAGAACGCAAAACCGAUUGUAUUUCAGCUCCAGACCCAGAAGAAUAGCCAAACCAGGUGGG